UGUGGGGUUUUGGGGUUGUGCUGGUUAUGGGGACACAGCCAGCCCCGGGGCUCUGCUCUGGGAAGGGCUCGCCUGCAGCCAAGCACCUCGCGUCUCACCGGCUUUCCUGCUCAAACCGGUGCCUUUAAAAAAAAAUUCGAAACAAAACAACAACAAAAAACCCCAGCUGCCCAUUUGUAUUCCCCUCACAGCUGUGCUCGCAGCCUGGCUGGGGUGUGAACGAACAAAUUCCUCUUCCCCACGCCUCGCCGCAGAGCAACCUCCGCGGGCUCGGGGCUCACAGCCGGCAGCACCGAGCGGGCGUGCGGCUCCCAGCAGCUCGGAGCUGGCUGCCUCCCCUCCAUCCUCCCCAACCCCUGCUCCCUGUGGCUUCCUCCUUGCUGGGGAGCCCCUCGCAGCUGCAGGACCCUCCCAGCCCAUGCGUGCAGGCAGCGAGGGACAAGGCCUGGAUUCCCAAUGGCUUCCCGAGGUGUGCAGCCCUGCAGCUCCAUGUGUGCCCGCGAGCCCCGUGUGAGCUCUGGGUGAGGAGCUCGGUGCCCGGCUGUGGCACCAGCCCCGAGGAGCAGCCAGGACGUGGAUGCAGCUCUCGCCCCAAUCCUAACCCAAACCCAGCAGCACCCACUUGAGCAGAAUUCCUGGGAUUCCGUCGCUUGGUGAGUACGUGCUGGCUUUUGUGUCCAUUUUUUUUUUUGUUUUCUAUGGGAAACCAGAACUUGGCUACGUGCAAAGUUGGUAGGAGACACCCAGCUCGGCAGCACGUUGUCACCCAGCUUCCACGCCACCUCGGGCUGCAAACCCCGGAUGCUGGCAGCCACGAGGGCUUCGCCUCAAAUUUUGUCACCUCCCUGAGCACCAGCUCCUCCUGCUCUGGGUGGCACAGCGGGGCUGGGGCACACUCUGGUACCCUGUUGUGAUGCCGUGGUGCUGAGCUGCUGCUGUGAUGCUCGCUGAGCUCCCCAGGCCACCAAAAUGCAAAGCUGCGGGCACAGCAGGCUCCCAAGCAGCUGCAUUUGGAGCAUUUUGAGGGGAUAAAUGUGUUUUUUUGACAGUUUGCACUCUGCAGCAGGAGCCCUGUUUCAGGCUGCAGCAGGACAAGAGACGAUCCCUGAUUAACAGGAGGGAAAGGACUGAGGGAAACUGAGGCACGGGAGGAGGGAAGAGGCUGGGUGGGGUCUCUCUAGUUUUGGAAUACCCCAAAACACAUGACAGGGAUCAUUUUUGGUCAUUUACCCCAGGUUUAGGAGGAAGCCCAGGCUGAGCUCAGCACCAUGGAUGCUGGUGUGUGCUUUGCACCUGUGCACGGUGGUGGGGGAGAGCAGGGGGCUGUGCGAGGUGGGACAGGGACCCCAAAUGCCCCCUCCUCCCUUUUUAACCCCUGCCAGCACCCGUCCUGGCUGACCCGGGGGGCUCCAGACCCCCAGCCCAGCAGCUUCAGG
rnacentral:lncRNA from 1 species